rnacentral:rRNA from 1 species
AAGGGCACCACAAGAACGCGUGGAGCAUGUGGCUUAAUUUGACUCAACGCGGGAAAUCUUACCGGGUCCGGACACACUGAGGAUUGACAGGUAACGUUAUACACACAUAUAUUUACUCUCGCGGGUAUUUAUACUGCUGUGUAUAUAUAAAAUAUGCUAGUCCUUUCAUGAUUAUGUGAUAGGUGGUGCAUGGCCGUUCUUAGUUCGUGGAGUGAUCUGUCUGCUUAAUUGCGUUUCACUAAGGAUCUAUAUUCAUAUUACGCAUAGCAUUUUGACCCCUUUAUGCUUCGGUAUAAAGCUGCGCGUCAAACCUUGCUAUCUGCGUAUAUUAGAUCCUGAAAGCAACGAACGUGACCGCAACCUCUUGUUGCCUUUAACUAGGUUUUGCUUACGUAUAGCUUCGGCUUUACGCUUUGCAUCUAAAAAG